ACAAGGAAAAGACAAAGGUUUGAAAUCUAUGUUUGAACCAAAUGAAACUGCCAUAUCUGGAGGUAAAAAGAAAAAUGCUUGCCUAUCAGCAGUUUCAUAUGAUUCAUUCUAAGAUUCUUCGGGCCCAGUGCUUCUGGUUAAAGAGAAACUCUCCCUGCUGUAUCGGAUUCCAUCACGACCUUUUCUUUGACAUUUACGCUGAAUGUGCCCCAUAUGCUCAUACAUUACUGAAAUCCAACACCACUUAAUCUUGGUUUUGUAACAGUGUGAGGUUCAUCUCUUGGUUUAGUUUUCCUGUGUGUAUAAAUACUACUUGAUUUAAAGGAAAAACAUGCUGAAGCCAGUAUUCACAGAAAAAUAAUUCCCUCUGUAUUCAGGUUAUACAAUGUUUUUUGGAAAAGUUUAGCUACAGCAUAGAAGUUAGCUAAAUUGGUCUUUCAUCACCGAAACUUCUCUCUAGUCACACGUAAAACGACUACAGCUGUUCCCUCAACGAGAGGCUGCAUCCUGGAGUGUGGAGCUGCUUGGAAAAGCGCUCGGCAGCCGGCAGCCACUCCCAGGAUACAGUCCCCAGACCACCUACCUCUCAUCAGCUGAAAGUGCCCAUGAAAAACGAAGCUUCUCUAAAUGCAAUGUGGAAUCCUGUAUUGGAUCCUGGAAUAGAUAAAGAACAUUAGUGGAAAAUCUGGUGAGAUCCAAAUGAAGUCUGGAGUUAAUGGUAACAUGCCAGCGUUGACUUCUUCGUUUUGACAGUGACCUUUGAUGACAUGUUAGCAUUAGGGCACAAUGAUUAAGGGGUAUACAGGAACUGGAUUAUCUUUGCAAAUUUUCUAUAAACAUAAAGUAAGUCCAAAAUAAACUUUUCUU